rnacentral:tRNA from 1 species
CAUAAAGUAGCUUAAGAAAAGCUUUAGAUUUUUAAUCUUUCGAUAAAUCGUGGAUUUCUUUAUGG